GGGAAUUUUUUCCGCCAUUAGUCAAAAUUACUCCUUCGUUGACUGGCCUAUAUGUGCUGCUCACACCCUCAAUCUUAUUGCAACAGUAGAUUGUUUAGAAGCACUUAAUGAUGGAAACUAUAAAAGACUUAGUAGACGUGUUUUUUCUUUGUGUUAUGCGUUGUUUAAUAAACAAAAUCAGUCCAAACAAUGUGCAGACCAAAUAAAAGAGACUCUUGGUCUUUAUCUUAUUGUACCAAAUGCAACUAGGUGGAACUCUUUUUAUGAUGCUAUGAAUGUUAUAGCUAAUAAUCUUAAUAAACUUAAUGAAAUAUGUGUCAAACUACAAUUACCUCUUUUUUCAAAUGUACAAGACUGAUUUUUUAAUUGAAUACUGUAAGGUUAUGAAACCAAUUGCACGAGGUUUAGAUAUUUUGCAAGGGGAAAACAAAAUUUGUAUUGGUUAUUUAUUAUCUACCAUUAGUGCAAUAAAUAAAUGCUAUGAAGAAUUAACAAAUCUUAAAUUUUGUUAACCUCUUGUUCAAAGCUUAAAAAAGGGACUUGACAAAAGGUA